CUUCAUCUUCCAAUCAAAAAAUCUGCUCUUUCUAUCCCAAUUGCAGAUGCCCUAAGUUACAAAGACCCGAAGACCUGUCAAUUUGUUCGAAGGUAUUUUUUUCUAAUAACUUUGUUCCUCCGUAUUCCAUUACUUGCUAAAAUGAUUUAUAUAAUUAGUUUGAUUGUCAAUGAAAUUGGUGAGAAGGGAAGGAAUCUUAAUUUUGUAAUAAUGCUUUAACUUUUUUAGGAUUAAUUUGUUGAUUUAGUACUUGGGAAUCUUAAUCUUUUUAAUUAUGCUCAUUUGGGUCUUCUUGCUUCUUUUGUUGAUUUGGGUAGCAAGAAAUGAUAUAUAUUGAUUCAGAGUUUUGAUGUCUUAAUUUGUAAGUGCAUAUUCUCAUAAAUGAAAAAUCCAAUUUUCUGGCAAUUUAUUGAUACCUAUUAUGUAGCUGUUCACACACAAAUAUUUGUUUUCUUUGUGAUUAGGCAUUAAGUUGCCAAUGUUUUUAUAAGAUUAUCAGAAUAUAUGUUAAGUCUAUCUAAAUUGUCGUCAAAAGUUGGGCUCUACCCUAUGAUAUUUUGUAGUUAGUGGUUUAACUCAAAACUUAACCAUAACAUGGUACGGUAGUAUUAUGAUUAAUGCACCCUUGAAUUUUAGUUUAUGUUCAGACAUUAGGCCGAGAACAAAGCUACUUGUGUUAUUUAUGUCAUAAUAAUGAUCCACAAAAAUUAAGUGGAAUGACCUCACAAUUUUUGAACAAACAACAAAGUGUAGCAAAUUCUAAGAUCUUUCCCCUCGAAAAUUGUUUCUUCCAUUCACUCCCAUUGUCCUAUAAUACACUAAUGAAAAUAAGAGAAACUCCUGCCAAUAUGAAUUUUUGCAUAUAGUUGGUUUAUCACAUCAUUAACACCACAUGUUUGAUAGGCAAACACGGAGUUGAUUUUUGUAAUUCUCUCCCUACAUAUUUGUGAGAUAUUUAUGCAGGCGAGUAUGUUUCAUUCUCGUUUGUUUCUUUGUUGUCCUAAAGAAUUAUGCAGUGAUACCUACAUUCAUAAAAUUUGUAAUGUUACUUUUGUUUGAAGUAGAUAAGUGUUUUCUUUUAAAUGAUUCUCUUGCAGGUUCACUGCUUAGCUUUCAAUCCUUUUAACGAAUGGGUUAUGGUGAUAGGGUCCACAGAUAAGACUGUAAAAUUAUUUGAUCUUCGCAGGCUCUCCAAUGCUCUCCAAUUUGAUUUGAUUACCUUUUUUUUAGGUUUGGAUGAAAACUCUUUGGGGUAUUUAUUUUUUUUCAAUAUGUGAUCUAUCCAUCAUCGAUAAUUGUGAUAUUCUUCCUCAGUUUUUCUUUUCAUUUAUAAAUUAUUUGGCUCACUCAUGACAUUUUACUUGUACUAACCUUUGUCCACUUUUGAUGUCUUCUUUGUAGGCUUAGCCAAUCUUUCUGUUACAGGUUAGAUUUUGUUUCACAAACUCAGCAUGGUAAAGGUUUUGAAUUCGUCUUAUCAUGCAUUUAUUUUCAUUGAAUUAUUCAAUAAACUAAGAUAGAUUAUAUAUUGUUAUGUGCUCUAGAAAUUCAUACAAAUAUAUAUAGCAUAUAUUUUUGUGGUGUGGAUCAACCUCUCUCCUUUAUCCUACUAUUUCAUGCAUAACUCUGUUAGCCUCAACAUAACUUUGGUGUACCAUCUAGAGAAAUUUCCUCAUUACCUAUUCCUUUUGUUUUCCUCCCCUUCAAUUUUAUUACCUGAUUAACUAUAUUCCUAUUUUUUCAUAUUUAACAUUUUUCACUUUAUGUAACUGCAGCUAGAGAAAGUAGUUGUGCAGCCAACUCAAGUUUCAUGGUGAGUUCUCUGUACUAGUUUAGGAUCAUUGUCUGUUGACAAAAGAGGUUUUUAUUUUAUUUUAUUUUCUUUUUUUAAUAAGUUCGCCAGUUUCAACUUUUCUUAUUCCUCGUCUUAUUGAAAUUAAAUUUUGGUGUUUCUCUUGCGGCAUGAAGUUUACAUGUCCAACCUUGAUUUUCUUGAAGAAAAUGAUGAUGAAGUGGAUCUAACAUGCCACCCUUUAUUCCUUCUAAUUCAUGGG
rnacentral:lncRNA from 1 species